GUACGGAAGGCGGCAGUGAGGAAUCUUGGACAAUGGGCGCAAGCCUGAUCCAGCCAUGCCGCGUGAGUGAAGAAGGCCUUAGGGUUGUAAAACUCUUUCGCCGGUGAAGAUAAUGACGGUAACCGGAGAAGAAGCCCCGGCUAACUUCGUGCCAGCAGCCGCGGUAAUACGAAGGGGGCUAGCGUUGUUCGGAAUUACUGGGCGUAAAGCGCACGUAGGCGGGUUUGUAAGUAGGGGGUGAAAUCCCAGGGCUCAACCCUGGAACUGCCUUCUAAACUGCAAGCCUGGAGGUCAGGAGAGGCGAGUGGAAUACCGAGUGUAGAGGUGAAAUUCGUAGAUAUUCGGUGGAACACCAGUGGCGAAGGCGACUCGCUGGACUGAUACUGACGCUGAGGUGCGAAAGCGUGGGGAGUAAACAGGAUUAGAUACCCUGGUAGG
rnacentral:rRNA from 1 species